GCGAGCCAGAGCACGAGACGCUGCCAAGGCAGAGGAAACUCCUCCCUCCAUACAGGAGUGCGACCCGGAGAUGGGUGGCCGGAGACGGCCGGCAACGGCACAGAAACGAAUCCGCACCGGGGCACUGUGAAGGCAGGGCCGGAGGUUCCCGGGAAAGGAAUGGAACGACCGCCCCGCAUGGAGCAAGGCCAAACAGAACCCCAGGUGCCUGUACCAGGUUCAGGUUGGCCGCAAAGCGAAAUAUCGUGUGAACAAAAGGAGGGUUACUACUGGCACGC
rnacentral:RNase_P_RNA from 2 species